rnacentral:rRNA from 1 species
CAUGUCUUUUUGAAUAUAAUUUAAAGUCUAAUCUGCACAAUGAAAAUUAAAUUGCCGCAGUAUUUUGACUGUGCAAAGGUAGCAUAAUAAUUAGUUUCUUGAUUAGAAACUGGUAUGAAUGAUUGGACGAGAAAAUUUCUGUCUCUUAUUAAAGAAUUAUUGAAUUUUAUUUUUAAGUUAAAAAGCUUAAAUGUUUAUAAAAGACGAGAAGACCCUAUAGAGUUUUAUAUUUUAUUAUUAAUUAGAUAUUAGGAAAAUUUUUUAGUAUAAAGUAUUUAGUUGGGGUGACUUGGAGAUUUAUUUAAUUCUUUAAAGUUUUUAUUGAUGAUUAUUAAUUUUAUUAUCUAAAUUUUUUAAAUUUAAAACUAAUUACCUUAGGGAUAACAGCGUAAUUUUUCUUUAAAGCUCUUAUUGAAAGAAGAUUUUGCGACCUCGAUGUUGGAUUAAAAUAAAUUUUUGGUGCAGUAACUUUAAAAUUAGGUCUGUUCGACCUUUAAUAUUUUACAUGAUCUGAGUUUAAACCGGUGUAAGCCAGGUUGGAUUCUAUCUUUAGAUUAAUUGUGUAUUUUAGUACGAAAGGACCAAAUAUAUAUUAUAUAUUAAUUA